AGGGGCAUAGCUCAGUGGUAGAGUGCUUGCCUAACCUGUGCAAGACCCUGGAUUCAAUCCCCAGUGUGGCUG
rnacentral:tRNA from 1 species